rnacentral:rRNA from 1 species
GGANUUGCCANUGGGCGAAAGCCUGAUGCAGCGACGCCGCGUGGGGGAUGAAGCUUCUCGGAGUGUAAACCCCUUUCGACCCGGACGAAUACCUCGCAAGAGGGGUGACGGUACGGGUAUAAGAAGCCCCGGCUAACUACGUGCCAGCAGCCGCGGUAAGACGUGGGGGGCCAGCGUUGCUCGGAAUUACUGGGUGUAAAGGGUCAGUAGGCGGUGUGGCAAGUCGGGAGUGAAAUCUCUGGGCUUAACUCAGAGACUGCUUCCGAAACUGCUGUGCUUGAGUGUGGGAGAGGCGCGUGGAAUUGCAGGUGUAGCGGUGAAAUGCGUAGAUAUCUGCAGGAACACCCGUGGCGAAAGCGGCGCGCUGGACCAUAACUGACGCUGAAUGACGAAAGCUAGGGGAGCAAACAGGAUUAGAUACCCUGGUAGUCCUAGCCCUAAACGAUCAGGACUUGGGGUGCCACCCGUUCGGGUGUCGUCCCGGAGCUAACGCGUUAAGUCCUGCACCUGGGGAGUACGGUCGCAAGACUGAAACUCAAAAAAAUUGACGGA